rnacentral:lncRNA from 1 species
CGCGUCUUCCGGAAGAGCACACACAAAAACUGAUCAGCUCUCUCGCAGUCUUCAGGUUAGGGAACUCUCCCCCGCUGAAAUGCUUUCAGAGGGCGCUCGGCCAGAUGGCUGCCGCCUCAACAGUGUGCAAAUUAGGACUCCUACAUAUGCGACCGCUUCAGCUCUGGCUGAAAAGUCGCGUGCCACAGGGCGCAUGGCACGCGGGCACCUGGCGCGUACGAGUAACGCGCGACUGCUUGAAAGUGCUGGCCCCUUGGCACGAUAUGACACUGUAUCACCGGGGUGUUCACACAUCAGACCGGGAGAUUGGUUUAUCUCCGUGGAUUUAAAGGAUGCUUAUUUCCACAUUCAGGUAGCCCCCCGCCACAGGCGCUUCCUGAGAUUUGCAUUUGAGGGGAUAGCGUAUCAAUAUGCGGUCCUACCCUUCGGUCUAUCCCUGGCCCCUCGUACGUUUACGAAGUGCAUGGAUGCUGCUCUCUCUCCUCUGAAGCAGAGCGGAAUGCGCAUCCUGAACUAUCUCGACGAUUGGCUAGUCUUAGCCCAAUCAGAGAGCGCGCUGCUCAGCGACAAGCUCAGACUUCUCGCUCAUGUUCAGAGCUUAGGGAUGACUGUGAAUAUGCAAAAGAGCAUGCUGGUACCGAGCCAGAACAUCUCCUUUUUAGGAAUAGAGCUGAAUUCGAUCAAUAUACGAGCGCGUCUUCCGGAAGAGCACACACAAAAACUGAUCAGCUCUCUCGCAGUCUUCAGGUUAGGGAACUCUCCCCCGCUGAAAUGCUUUCAGAGGGCGCUCGGCCAGAUGGCUGCCGCCUCAACAGUGUGCAAAUUAGGACUCCUACAUAUGCGACCGCUUCAGCUCUGGCUGAAAAGUCGCGUGCCACAGAGCGCAUGGCGCGCGGGCACCUGGCGCGUAUGAGUAAUGCGCGACUGCUUGAAAGCGCUGGCCCCUUGGCACGAUAUGACACUGUAUCACCGGGGUGUUCCUAUUGGCCAAGUGACCAGGAGAAAAACUGUUACGACAGAUGCAUCGAGCACGGGUUGGGGAGCCGUAUGCGACGGCAGACCAGCCUUCGGGACGUGGUCAGAAACGGAGAAGUUGUGGCACAUAAACUGUCUGGAGCUCCAUGUUAUACACCUAGCGCUCGAGUGCUUUCUUCCGGACAUUCUCCACCGUCACGUUCUCAUCAGGACGGACAGCAUGACAGUGGUAGCGUUUAUAAAUCACCAAGGGGGUGUGAGCUCGCGGC